UUUCCGUAGGUGAACCUGCGGAAGGAUCAUUACAUUCAGUAGCCUAGCUACUUGUUUAUACCCUUGUUUUUUUGCGUACCUAUUGUUUCCUCGGUGGGCUUGCCCACCGGCUGGACAAAAUUUAUAACCUUUUUAAAUCUUCAAUCAGCGUCUGAAUUAUACAUAAUAAUUACAACUUUCAACAACGGAUCUCUUGGUUCUGGCAUCGAUGAAGAACGCAGC
rnacentral:misc_RNA from 1 species